GUAUGUAAUCUACCUUAAAUAGGGGGAUAGCUUCGAGAAAUCGGAAUUAAUACCCCAUAACAUUGCGGAAUGGCAUCAUUUUGCAAUUAAACCUCCGGGGAUUUAAGAUGAGCAUGCGGUGCAUUAGCUAGUUGGUAAGGUAACGGCUUACCAAGGCUACGACGCGUAGGGGGUCUGAGAGGAUGAUCCCCCACACUGGUACUGAGACACGGACCAGACUCCUACGGGAGGCAGCAGUAGGGAAUAUUGGGCAAUGGACGCAAGUCUGACCCAGCCAUGCCGCGUGCAGGAUGACGGCCCUCUGGGUUGUAAACUGCUUUUAUACGGGAAGAAAAGUUGCUACGUGUAGCAAAAUCGACGGUACCGUAAGAAUAAGGAUCGGCUAACUCCGUGCCAGCAGCCGCGGUAAUACGGAGGAUCCAAGCGUUGUCCGGAUUUAUUGGGUUUAAAGGGUGCGUA
rnacentral:rRNA from 1 species